rnacentral:lncRNA from 1 species
AAAAUUACCAUUUCAGGGGCAGCAACCCAACAACCGAUUAUCCGAUUCAUCUGAAAAUUCCAGGGCAGAUAGAUCGUGACCUGAUCAACAAUUUUACUUCCUGUCAGAUUUGCUCUAAAUGCUUUGGUUUUUGAGUUAUAAGCCAAAAACUGCAUUUUACCCCUAUGUUCUAUUUUUAGCCAUGGCGGCCAUCUUGGUUGGUUGACCGGGUC